ensembl:lncRNA
AGGGCUUCCGGUCGCGCCGGGGCCGCUGGGCUCUGAGGCGCUGGGCUGCCCGCCCGCCAGCAGCGACGGGCUGGGCACCGAGUCGCGCGAGGGGCUGCGGCCCCAAGCUCGGGAGCGCAGCCUCCAGCUUCUUCCCAAGGGCGGUCUCGCCCUUCGGCCCCUCGGCCCCUCGGCCCCGCAGUAGAGCGGCCUCCGGCUUCUCCCCAGGGGCGACCUCGGGCGCUCCUGACGGCGGCCCAGCUCCUCGGUCACCGGGGAGCCGCAGUGGGGUCCCUGGCCCCUUGGCCGUGGGUUCCAGGGCGCUGCUGCAAGCACAGGGAGCCGAGAGAAAACCAGGGCUGGACCGCAGUUAAGGCGCUGAAAGCGGGUUCCGCCCAGGGCGCUUCACAGAGCGCGCAGGAGACCCCGGUGUGGAGCCAGGCUCACCCCGCACACGGGUGGGCGGAAAAGAAAGGCGCACCCCGAAAGCUGAGCCUUACGUUUCGUGUGGCACACCAAGCUGAGGACCCGAGCCUGGGGCCCAGCAUCUCCUAACUGGGAGCCCGCUCCGUAGAGGUGAGGCAGGAGCCGGCACCUCCGGGCGGUUCCGCGCAAAGACCAGGUAGCUGGCGCGUGGGGAGGUCGCUGUCCGUUAAGGAACCAGACCUCUCCAGGCGUUUAGUGCUUGGAGUUCCCGUCCUGGCGCAGUGGUUAACGAGCCCGACUGGGAACCGUGAGGUUGCGGGUUCGGUCCCUGGCCUCGCUCCGUGGGUUAAGGAUCCGGCGUUGCCCUGAGCUGGGGUGUAGGUUGCAGAUGCAGCUCAGAUCCCACGUUGCUGUGGCUCUGGCGUAGGCCGGUGGCUACAGCUCCGAUUAGACCCCUAGCCUGGGAACCUCCAUAUGCCGCGGGAGUGGCCCAAGAAAUGGCAAAAAGACAAAAAAAAAAAAAAAAGAAAAAAGGAAUUUAGUGCUUCUCCGUGAGUGGGGGGCCAGGCGGGUGAUGCAAAGUCUGGGCUCAUUCCCAUCAACCCCAAGUGAUUUCAGCGUUCACGGCCUUCGUCCUCUGGGUGCACCGUCGUGGUGGCUGUAAUGUGACAGCUUGAUGGCUGCAACAUCCUUUCUUCACUGAUCGGUCGCGCGUGUUCAAAACCACAGGAGCCGGUGGGAAUUUACAGCCGAGGAACAGCGUGGGGUCAGGGGGUGGGAAAUUACUACGCGGAAACCUCUGGGUGGGGGGCUGGGGGUUUGGGGCUUCUAGCCAAGGAAACCUGGUGGGAUUCUUGCUCAAGGCCGGCCAGGUAUCAGACCACCUGGGGGGUGAGGACGGGGUUACCGAUCAGGGUAUCACAAAAGCCCAAAGUGGAGGCCUCGCUGGAGGCGGGUUGAGAGCAGCUGGAGGCGGGUCUGGUGUAGGGGAGCGUCUUCGGCAGCAUCCUCUGCCUGGCGGUGACAGAGGCCUUCGAACCCCUCUAGGUGGUGCCAGGGCGCCAGGUGCCAGGGCGUCUAGGUGGUGCCAGGGCCUCUGCCCUCGAGAGCCCACCUGGGGCAUCCUGGUCCCCCCCGGGGAGUACUCAGAACAGCUCCCGUUUAUCUGGCCCUUCGUGUGUGCAGGCGUUGUUCUGAGCGCGUCAGACGUCGUAACUCUUAAUCUAAACAACCCCAGUAUCGAGACCUUAUCAUCCUCAUUGCAGAGACAGGGCGUUCGGGCUGAAGGACCUGCCCAGGGUCACGGAGCUGAUGAGGCUGGGUCUGGACUUCGGACCUUUACCCUUGAUUGCCGGUCUUGUGACUCACAUGCUCGGGCACGGGGAGAGGCGGGACCGUGCUGCCCUGUCGCAGGGUGAUUUCUGGUUCCUGCCAGGCCUUCUGCCCACCCCCCCUUCUCCAAGCUGGAAGUUGUGGUGGCAGCGUCCGUUGGCUGUUUGGGGGCGGGGGGGUGUCUUGUGCUGAUACUGCCAUGAUUUGAGCCGUGAGCCUCUUCCUGAGGGAUUAACACCGGGCCACCCGCACCCUCAGAGGCCUGUCUGCCUGGCUUCCUGCCAGGCCUGUCAAGGCACGUCCCCCCCCCAACCCCCGCCUGUCUGUCCACAUCACUUAACCCCUUAGGGAACUUGGGCUUCCCCCAGGUCCUCGCUGCCUUUCCUCAUGAUUUAAUGACUCCUUGUGCCAUACACCUUGAGUCCAAUGAAGCAUGCUCCUCCCACAGUGAUUUCUGGGGCCCAACAGGAAAAGGCAUCGAUACAAAGCAUUAUCGAAAUAGACAUAAAACCAAGAGGAAGCUUGUUUUUGACACUGGCAGCCAGUUCACAGAGGGAAAGAUGAUGAGUUUCAUGGUUCCAGGCCUCAGGAAGGAAACAUGUCAGUCUCUCAGGAGAGUCUAAGUUUUGUUGGUUCUAAAUUUAAACACACGUCCACCCACACACCCCCCAAAAGCCACCUGCCAAUGUAUUGCCAGUGUGAAACCUUUAAAAGGUUCCUUUACUUUUAUUCGCCAAUUCACGUGUUCUCUCUCUGUAGGCAAAUAGAUGCAAGAAAUAUGCCCCCCCCUCCGAGACAACCCCCCUCUGAAAUAGACGUAGCUCUUUUUAUAAAAGGGAUCCCGGAGGACCAAGUGGGUGAUGGCUGGAGGGCCCUGUGGCUGGUUUUGGUGUAGACCUUUGAUAAAGACGGAGUUGGGAGGAAACCAGGCGGGGUCGUCCUGGGCCAGGGUGACGGCAGGGCGGGCAGGUCCUUCCCGGUGGCCUAAGUGGCUGUGUGGGCAGAACCCCGCGCCUAGACUCUCGGGGGAGGCGCUUGCUGCUGGCCACCGACGGCUCUCCAGUGCGAGACGGGGAUUUAGCUGGAAAGAAGAUCGUGGGAGUGAAUUCACUUAAAACAGGCACCCGUCGUAAGCACGUCAGUCGUGGGGCAGAAGCGUUUGAGAACUUAUGGUGGAAAAGAAAAAGGGGGGGGUCUUGAAUUUGUCUCGCAGGCGAUUCGGGUGAUGACUGUGCCAUUCUAAGUCGACUUGGAGAACCAGCAGAGAAUUAAUCAGGUGUCGAUGUGGCAGGGGCAUGAUUUUUCCAGCCCCCUGUGGGCCGGCCUCGGCAGCAGUCUUCACAGGAUGGGUUCUCUCGGCUCCCUCACUGGGCGGAGCUGUCGUGCCGACAUCUCCAAGGGCACCGUCCGUCUCCCCCAGCCUCUCUUAGCCCUCUGAUACUCGGAUCCCCGCGGGCUGACGUACCGUCCUGUCGGGAGCCUCGUCAGCAUCCUGUCCUCGGAUGCCUGCCCGGCCGGCCCUGCCAGGCCCUCCUGCCCGCUGGCCAAAGGUCCUGGGCUAGAUCCGAACAUCUCCCAGUUGUGACACGUGUGGCCUUUCCAAGAUGUCACAUCUUUGGUGAGGUUUGUAAUUGGAGUGGAGCCCGAGCAGGCACAUGGGCUCCGUGCGAGGACAGUCUGUUUUCUUCGGCCACCUCAUGCCUGCGGGCACCCAAGACUUGGAGCGGCUUGGGCACGACGUUGGUCUCCGGGUCUCAGGGCCUGCCUGCGUCUGGUAGGCACAGUGUCCCUCUCGGUUUUGCGAGAUGUGGGAACAGGUGGCAACGUUUCGUUGCGUGCGUGACAAGCAGGCCUUUUCUCUGGGCUGGUCUUCUGAGAGCAGCUGGGUGGUGGGUAGGUGGCGAGCCCGUCUGUGAGGCAGGUGUUUUAUUACGUUCAGGUCACAGACGUUUGGGAAGGAGUGAGGGAGGCCGUAUCCACUCGGGUUUAUUUCAGGUGUUGGUGGCAGCCGCCUGUGUGACACCAUUUCUGCCCAAAGAGGAGCACAGACAGGUUCCAAGAGCUGGGUGAGGCACCCGACUUAUUUCUCCUCCUCUUAGCUCAGUGGUCCUGUUCUCCUUCCUCCAGGCUGUGAUAAAAUCGCCCGCCUCUGCGUCUCGCUCAGUAGCUUUCCUUUCCCAGGCUUCCCAGCAAAAUCCCAGGAUUGAGUCUCCUUGGACCCACCCGGGUCACGUGCCUGUCUUUGGCCCCAUCACUGCUUGAAAAAUCAGUCAAUGUGAAAGUAGCCUCCCCUGCAUCCGGGAGUUUAAAAAAAAUACGUCUCAAUGUCCAUCAAAGCAGAGGUCCUAAGCGGAGACUACGGGAUGCCCCGAGCGCCCGCUCUCCUGGCCCCCGGAGCCCGCUCACCUCCUCUCUCUUCCCCUGGCGUCGCCUGUCCUGCCCGUUGCCUGUGCGCGGCUCACGCUCUGGCCUCGUGUCCACCCUUCCCUCCGAUCUGCACCCCCGCAGUGCUUCGCUCCUUUUGGAGAAACCAGUUCUUGCUCAGUAACUGGGGGGAUGAAAUGACAGGGCCUUGGCAGAAGGGCCUCCUUGAGGGCUUGACACCUGCAGCGCGUCCCAUUAAGCUUCCUCCGCUUCAGAGUCCUGCGACUCCACUGGCGAGACCCCGCGCCCGGCCCCCGCCCUCGUGGGAUCCGUGGCCCCAAACCUCCCGCGCGCCAGCCAGGCCUUUGCAAGGAGCAGGACGGCCGGGAGGAAACCCCUCCGCCCUGGUCCCCUGCUGCCCCUGGCAGGCCUGGGGUCCGAGCAGCCGUGACAGACGCGAGGGUCCUGAGGCCCUAACGCCACACUCCCAUCUCCGGAGGAAAGUGACGACACGGAGGCGAGGUCUUGCUGUCGCAGGACGUACAUUUAUAAGCAGGCGCGAGAGCGGCAGAGCCAGCAAGAGGCCAAGCCCAGCGAGCACCACCAGCCGGAGGGCCGCCUGCACGUCUCGCCCCGGCCAGCCUGCGCUGGGGCUGAGGGUCUCCGUGCUCUGCGCUCCGUGGUUUUACGCCCGGCCUGGACCCCAGGCCUUCUUUGCCGCCUGCGGGGUGGGACCUCCUCUUGCGGGGUGGCGCGCCACCGUCGCGUGUGUGGCACGGCUUCUGCGCUCCACGGUCGCAAAGGCCCUUGAAUAAGUAGCAGCAUGGAAAUAGAGACGGUUCUGACCGGGGCGGGGGGGGCUCCAUGACGUGCAAAUGACCUUCACCGUACCCAGUUACCUAGAGAAGGAGCGGGAACGCUUCAUUUUUUACAUACGAGGGUUAUCCACGUUGAGGGAGGAGACAGGAUAGAAAGAUUAAAGGCACCAAUGAAAAUCACAUAUAUUUUAUUACAAAAACAAAACCCUGGGCCUACGUGAAAUUCCAAUUUUUCCUGAGGGAAAUUAAUGAAUACCAGUUUAUAAGGGUCCAGGGAGCAGUUCAUUCGCAAAGGAAAUAAAUCCUCUUCCCAGGGAGCGGUUUCAGAUGGUUUCCCAGCGCAGGGUCAAAGGUGAAAACAUCAUUUUUCCGGGGAGGCCGCAAGUGUGCCCUCUUGGGGCAGGCGAGGGCCUUGUGGCCCAGGGACGCCCUGAGCUUUGGAGUUGUGUGUCAGCGGGAGCAUUUGUAUUUAGCAUCAAACAGGAAACACACACACACACACACACCCACCCUGUCUGUGGACCUGAUCCCAGCAGGGCACAGAAUUGAGAGUUUAGCUUGUCACUGUUUUCUGCAGAACUUAGUCAUGCUCAAAUAUUACAAUCUUUUUGUUCUUGGAAUGAGGCUUUCUGCCCUCGUUAGAAAUAAUGAAAACUGUCUUGUACUCACAUCUUGCACUAUUUGUUUAGUUCUUUAAUAAAUGAAACCUUAAUCCAU